rnacentral:sRNA from 1 species
UUCCACUUGAGUUCUGAUCAUUGUCCAGUAUGUGUAAAUAGGGAAAUUCGGA